rnacentral:rRNA from 1 species
AACGAACGCUGGCGGCAUGCCUAACACAUGCAAGUCGAACGCUCUUGGGGAUUUCGGUCUCCAAGGGAGUGGCGCACGGGUGAGUAGCGCGUGGGAACCUGCCCUGUUGUGGGGGAUAACCGAGGGAAACUUCGGCUAAUACCGCAUGCGCCCGGUGAGCGAUCAUCGGGGAAAGAUUUAUCGCAGCAGGAGGGGCCCGCGUCGGAUUAGCUGGUUGGUGGGGUAACGGCCUACCAAGGCGAUGAUCCGUAGCUGGUCUGAGAGGAUGAUCAGCCACACUGGGACUGAGACACGGCCCAGACUCCUACGGGAGGCAGCAGUGGGGAAUAUUGCGCAAUGGGCGAAAGCCUGACGCAGCGACGCCGCGUGGGGGAUGACGGCCUUCGGGUUGUAAACCUCUUUCAGCAGGGACGAAGCCGUGAGGUGACGGUACCUGCAGAAGAAGCACCGGCCAACUACGUGCCAGCAGCCGCGGUAAUACGUAGGGUGCAAGCGUUGUCCGGAAUUAUUGGGCGUAAAGAGCUCGUAGGCGGUUUGUUGCGUCGGCUGUGACAUCCCGAGGCUCAACCUCGGGUCUGCAGUCGAUACGAGCAAACUAGAGUGUUGCAGGGGAGACUGGAAUUCCUGGUGUAGCGGUGAAAUGCGCAGAUAUCAGGAGGAACACCGGUGGCGAAGGCGGGUCUCUGUGCAACAACUGACGCUGAGGAGCGAAAGCGUGGGGAGCGAACAGGAUUAGAUACCCUGGUAGUCCACGCUGUAAACGAUGUGUGCUGGAUGUUGGGUGGCUUAGCCAUUCAGUGUCGUAGCUAACGCGAUAAGCACACCGCCUGGGGAGUACGGCCGCAAGGUUGAA